rnacentral:lncRNA from 1 species
AUGGGGAAUGGCCCUUUAAAUGCUCAGGCUGGCUCUGAUCCCUCCUUUCCCCUCAGGGUUACCCACAGGAGGGAGCCACCAGGGAGGGUGAGAGCCCUUUGGAAUAAGAAGUGUGUCUGGGGCCUACAGGCUGGCAGAGUGUGGGGCUUGGAGGCUGAAAAGCCCCAGGUUCCAGUGUGGCCCCGGGCCAGACGGGCCAGCUCAGCUCCCAGAGGACAGAACGCUUGCAUCAGCUGAAGUUAAUUCCAGAGUUUCUUCCCUUCCAACCUCUAUUUUGACCCAGUUCAUCUACCGCCAUCCCAAAUUCUUCUCCUGGUGAUCCUCAUCUUUCUCCUCCCUGUUCUCUUGCCCCUCCUCCCUGCCCCUUGCACCUUACUGUGCCCCUACCUGUGGGCCAGACCCCCUAAGAUCACAGCCACCCCUGCUCCUGCUGUCUCUCUCUC